GGAGAGAAGAGGAGAGAAGAGGAGAAGUGGAGAAUAGAGGAGAGAAGAGGAUAGAAGAUGAGAUGUGGAGAAUAGAGGAGAGAAGAUGAGAAGUGGAGAAUAGAAGAGAGAAGAUGAGAGAAGAGGAGAAGUGGAGAAUAGAGGAGAGAAGAGGAUAGAAGAUGAGAUGUGGAGAAUAGAGGAGAGAAGAUGAGAAGUGGAGAAUAGAAGAGAGAAGAUGAGAGAAGAGGAGAAGUGGAGAAUAGAGGAGAGAAGAGGAUAGAAGAUGAGAUGUGGAGAAUAGAGGAGAGAAGAUGAGAAGUGGAGAAUAGAAGAGAGAAGAUGUGAAGUGGGGAAUAGAGGAGAGAAUAUGAGAAGUGGAGAAUAGAGGAGAGAAGAUGAGAUGUGGAGAAUAGAGGAGAGAAGAUGAGAUGUGGAGAAUAGAGAAGAGAGAAGAUGUGAAGUGGAGAAUUGAUGGGGAAGAGCAGAGAAGAAGAAAAAAGGAGAAGAGGGAAGGAGGAGAAUCUCACCCUCUUACAUGAUCCAUCUCCCCCAGCUAGCAGGAUACACAUUCAUUAUUAACAAA